CUUUAAAAGCAAACUGACCGUGCGAUUCUCCUCUUCAGACCACCUUCUUCCUUUCUUUUACUUUCAAAAAGUUUUCUACGUUCUUUGUUUUCAGAUCUGGCCUUGCCCAGAGAAAAGAAGAGAGAUACAAGCACAAAAGAGAGAGAGAAAAACAGGAAAAAGACAGAAACGACCAGACAUGGAUCUGAAACCCCCCCCAUUCUCUUCAAUGUGGAGAGGGAAAGAAAAGAAUAUCAGAAAGAGGUAAGGAAGAAGAUGAUAGAAAACAAAUUAGAAUGGUCAUCGUUCUACCAUUCUUUUUCUUCUUCAGUUUCUUGAGAGCAAAGAACCAAAUAGAGAAAGAAAAGAAGAACAAAGAAAGAAGGAAGAAGAAGAUCGAAAAGAAGAUAGAUGGGUUUCUCUUAAAGACCCAACACUACUUGGUCAUUCUGUUAAAUUUCAAUCUCUCUUGUUCACAAGCCUUGCCCAGAGAGAAGUUGAGAAGUACGAGCAUAGCAGAGAGAGAAAAAGGGGAAAAAGACAGAAACGAGCAGACAUGGAUCUGAAACCCCUCCAUUCUCUUCAAUGUGGAGAGGGAAAUAAAAGAAUAUCAGAAAGAGGUAAGGAAGAAGAUGAUAGAAAAAAAAUUAGAAUGGUCAUCUUUCUACCAUUCUAUUUCUUUUUCAGUUUCUUGAGAGCAAAGAAUCAAACAGAGAAAGAAAAGAAGAACAAAGAAAGAAGGAAAAAAGAAGAUCGAAAAGAAGAUAGAUAGGUUUCUCUUAAAGACCCAACAGUAUUGAAAGAUUCAAUCUCUUUCCCACAAGCCAUGGGCAGAGAGGAGAGAAAUACAAGCAUAACAGAGGGAGAGAACGGGGAAAAAGAUAGGAAAGAACAGACAUGGGUCUGAAACUCUUCGUUCUCUUCAAUGUCGGGAGGGAAAGAAGCGAAUAUCGGAAAGAGAUGAGGAAGAAGAAGAUAGAAAACAAGAUUAAAAUGGUUCCUCCUAUCAUUCUUUUUCUUCUUCAGUUUCUUGAGAGCGAAGAAUCAAAUAGAGAAAGAAAAGAAGAACAAAGAAAGAAGGAAGAAGAAGAUCGAAAAGAAGAUAGAUGGGUUUCUCUUAAAGACCCAACACUACUUAGUCAUUCUGUUAAAUUUCAAUCUCUCUUGUUCACAAGCCUUGCCCAGAGAGAAGGUGAGAAGUACGAGCAUAGCAGAGAGAGAAAGAGGGGAAAAAGACAGAAACGAGCAGGCAUGGAUCUGAAACUCUCCAUUCUCUUCAAUGUGGAGAGGGAAAGAAAAGAAUAUCAGAAAGAGUUUAUUGGGAGUAAAGAGCCAAAUAGAGAAAGAAAAGAAGAGCAAAGAAAGAGGGAUGAAGAAGAUCGAAAGAAGAGAUAUGUCUUUCUCUUCAAAGACCCAACGGUAGCCGGAGGUGAUUUUUACUUAUCUCUUAAUAUUGGUAGGUGAUCAUUCAUGGAGUUUGCAUAAGUGACUUAUUCUUCUUAUUUAAUGUUUUUAGUUUUCAUAAACUUGUUUUGUUAUGUGUAGAAGAUGAAAUUAGAGAUAUAGCUGAAAAUAACUGAUGCUGACAAACAAUUAGUUAGUUAAGAACAGAUGCUACGUAAAUAUCUGGAACCUGGCAAAGGAAGACAUGCAAUGAGGAAUAAUGAAUUGUGGUUCUCUUUCUCUCUCUGUGUUCUCUUCUCUGUUAUUCUCUCUCUCUGUUUCUCACUCUCUCUGCACUUCUCUCUUUGUUUGCUACAUUCUAAACCCUAAAAGCCUUCUUCCUAGAUUUCACACACAACAUAUUUCUAAAUUAAUUCGAGUUCUUUCUUGUUAUGAACAUAGCAGCAACUUUCUCAACUGGGGAGAUGUUGUUUUUCUUAUUCCUUCCUACCAUGAUUUAUAGACUUGAAUUUUACUCAAAAAUAGCAGCAGUUUCUUGUUUUUUCGUUUAAAUAUUCCAGAUUAGCUUCAAUAAUUUUACAGACAAACUCUCUUCUGGAAUUUGAUUUAGUAGGUUCUGUUUUUGAUGGAGUUUGCAAAGGUGAUCUUGUGGUCUCUGUUUCUAAAUACAUUUAACAUGUUCCUUUGAGCCCCAGGUAGGUUGUGGGAAUAGAAUAUUAAUGCUGUGGAUAUUCCACAAUUAUAUGAACAUAUUACCCUUUUCCGACUGAGGGAACUUUCAAAUUUUUUUUUUUGAUUGAUUACUUUCCCAAAGUAUUCAGAGUACUCGGGUUUUCUUCAAGACUAACAUCGUAAAAAUAUUAUAGUAAUAAUAAAUUUAGUGAAAAUAAAAGCAAGAAAAACGAUUGGAUUUGGAGCUCUUUUGCAUAGAUGGAAAUGUAGUCCUUUUUAAUCUUUAACUUAUCAUUUCUUUCACAAUUUAAAACUUCUUAAGAAACGAUUUUAUCUUGUGAACUUUACUUUAAAUAUUUUCAUAAUUGGGAAUAUUUUCAAAAGUGUCGCAUACUUCUCAUUUAUGCUUUCAAUUGUUGCAACAUUUGCAUUUUCAGUAUGAUGAGAUGUUCCCUUCACUAUUCAGUGAUCAUCCUAAUAUAUUUCCUCCACACCUGUCGACAUGGGCUAGUGAACUUUGGUACUGAAAUAGCAUGAAAGGUAUGUCCGUAGAUGGGAAGCUGAGAACUUGCUCAAUUCCGGUUGGUGGCUUCCUGAAACACUCACACUCUUUUAGAUAUAGAUUAUGAGGAACCAGCGGAAUAAGAGGUUUGUCUUUCUUCUUUUAUCCUGUUUUUCAGUUUUGUUUUGUUUUUUUUCAUCCUAAUUUUUUCUUUAAUAUUUUUUAAUGGAGUUGGAGAGAGUUACAACGUUAUUUAUUUCUGCAUCAUUUAUCACAUUAAGUUUUAAAAAGUUUUUAGAUGGAGCUUCAUAAGGAGAUCUUCUCCAUGAUCAUUUUAGUUAAAAAGAUUUGUGGUUCGAUUUGAUGGCAGAUAAUGGUACUGGCGGGAACUCGUCUUCUUCGGUUGCAGGAGUACUUGGUCAGCAGUUUCUUUUGUUUCUUCAAUGUUUCUAAUAAGGUUGCAUUUACUUAAUUGGUAAUUAGGAUUUUGGAGCUAAACCAUACAGUGGUUUAGUACUAUGAGCUGCUGUGUUUUAUGAGAUAUCUCUUUCUUCUUGUUUUUUCCAUUAUAUUUCUUAGAUUUUGGUAUGUUUGUCUUGUUUCUCGCGUCGCUGGCAAGAUGACGGAGGUCAUGACCAUUCUUUAAAAUUGUGCUGUAAGUUGUGAAAAUUCAAAUUUCAUUUUAAUAAUUUUGCAUAUUUACUGAUUGUAGCAAACCUGCGAAUACUGACUCUCUUACUUACGCUGGCAAGCUCUCAGUAUAGCCUACGGCGGGCUUUACGGUAUGUGAGCAACAAAAGAGGGAGAGUGUGUAUGAAGAAGAGAACCAGAACGGCAGAGGAAGAGAGUUCGUAUGAAAGUUUACCUCAUGAUUCUAUUAUCUGAUUAGUCAAUUAUUUUUAUUUUUUUACUAACUAAUCAAACAAUAAUUUUUAAAUUAUGCUACCAUAACUUAGUUGAAGGAUG